GGAGCUAAUCCCUUAAAGCUACUCUCAGUUCGGAUUGUAGGCUGAAACUCGCCUACAUGAAGCUGGAGUUACUAGUAAUCGCAGAUCAGAAUGCUGCGGGGAAUGCGUUCCCGGGUCUUGUACACACCGCCCGUCACACCACGGGAGUUGGAGACGCCCGAAGCCGAUUAUCUAACCUUUUGGAAGAAGUCGUCGAAGGUGGAAU
rnacentral:rRNA from 1 species